AGCCAUGUGUUAGGCACAAAGCGAACUAUUCUUUCGCCUUUUACUAAAGAAUACCGUGUGUUUGACACUUUAAGUGGCAUACGCUUAUUUUUGGAGGUGUCCUUCCUUUGAAGGGUCCCACAUCUCUAGUCUAUAUAUUUAUCAUCUUAUGUUAUGGUUCUUUGUUAAAUUAAGUCCUGAUUAGACUUUCUAUUACAUUGAGUUUCUUACCCGGUUUCUUAUUUUUCAUCUUAGUCUCAUAUUGUGUGUCUAUUUCUUUGAAGUACUGAAAUUUUAGACAAACUUCAUUAGUGGGUUAUCUAUCG